UCGACGAUGAAUCUUCUAGCUUGCUAGAAGUGGAUUAGUGGCGCACGGGUGAGUAAUGCAUAGGUUAUGUGCCCUUUAGUCUGGGAUAGCCACUGGAAACGGUGAUUAAUACUGGAUACUCCCUACGGGGGAAAGUUUUUCGCUAAAGGAUCAGCCUAUGUCCUAUCAGCUUGUUGGUGAGGUAAUGGCUCACCAAGGCUAUGACGGGUAUCCGGCCUGAGAGGGUGAUCGGACACACUGGAACUGAGACACGGUCCAGACUCCUACGGGAGGCAGCAGUAGGGAAUAUUGCUCAAUGGGGGAAACCCUGAAGCAGCAACGCCGCGUGGAGGAUGAAGGUUUUAGGAUUGUAAACUCCUUUUGUUAGAGAAGAUUAUGACGGUAUCUAACGAAUAAGCACCGGCUAACUCCGUGCCAGCAGCCGCGGUAAUACGGAGGGUGCAAGCGUUACUCGGAAUCACUGGGCGUAAAGAGUGCGUAGGCGGGGUAAUAAGUCAGAUGCGAAAUCCCGUAGCUUAACUACAGAACUGCAUUUGAAACUGUUACUCUGGAGUGUGGGAGAGGUAGGUGGAAUUCUUGGUGUAGGGGUAAAAUCCGUAGAGAUCAAGAGGAAUACUCAUUGCGAAGGCGACCUGCUGGAACAUUACUGACGCUGAUGCACGAAAGCGUGGGGAGCAAACAGGAUUAGAUACCCUGGUAGUCCACGCCCUAAACGAUGGAUGCUAGUUGUUGCCUUGCUUGUCAGGGCAGUAAUGCAGCUAACGCAUUAAGCAUCCCGCCUGGGGAGUACGGUCGCAAGAUUAAAACUCAAAGGAAUAGACGGGGACCCGCACAAGCGGUGGAGCAUGUGGUUUAAUUC
rnacentral:rRNA from 1 species